CCUACGGGGGGCAGCAGUGGGGAAUAUUGGACAAUGGGGGGAACCCUGAUCCAGCGACGCCGCGUGAGUGAAGAAGUAUUUCGGUAUGUAAAGCUCUAUCAGCAGGGAAGAAAGAAAUGACGGUACCUGACUAAGAAGCCCCGGCUAACUACGUGCCAGCAGCCGCGGUAAUACGUAGGGGGCAAGCGUUAUCCGGAUUUACUGGGUGUAAAGGGAGCGUAGACGGCGAUGCAAGUCUGAAGUGAAAGGCGGGGGCCCAACCCCCGGACUGCUUUGGAAACUGUAUGGCUGGAGUGCAGGGGAGGUAAGUGGAAGUCCUAGUGGAGCGGUGAAAUGCGGUGAUAUUAGGAGGAACACCAGUGGCGAAGGCGGCUUACUGGACUGUAACUGACGUUGAGGCUCGAAAAGCGUGGGGAACAAACAGGAUUAGAUACCCCAGUAGUC
rnacentral:rRNA from 1 species